UACGGAGGGUGCGAGCGUUGUCCGGAAUCACUGGGCGUAAAGGGCGCGUAGGCGGCCGUGUAAGUCACUUGUGAAAUCCCGGGGCUCAACUCCGGGGCUGCAGGUGAGACUGCAUGGCUAGAGCACGGUAGAGGCGAGUGGAAUUCCCGGUGUAGCGGUGGAAUGCGUAGAUAUCGGGAAGAACACCGGUGGCGAAGGCGGCUUCCUGGACCGACACUGACGCUGAGGCGCGAAAGCUAGGGGAGCAAACGGG
rnacentral:rRNA from 1 species